AAUGUCAAGCGUCACGAAAUGUUUCAAAAUUGUUUAAAGGUUUGAUGUUGUAGUUUUAUAUUGUUAAUAACGCCAAGUGCCAUUAUUUACUAUUUGUGGAUAAAGAAAUUGUGAUUUCUUUAGGAUUGCAACGUUGUUUUGUGCGAUAUUUUACAACAUUACUAUUUGCAACUGCAGUACUCAAGACUUGAUGAGACAUGGAUUUAAAGAUGGUUAAUGAAACUACAUCAAGUCAAACGGAAGAAUAUUGGUCGGAACAUUUUCUUUCUAAAUUUGGACUGGAAUACAUAAAACAUGAUGUUUUAUAUAAAGAAAGUAUGUGUAACAAAAAUAAUGUAGCUAAGGCCAGGGCGAUACAAAACUUGGCCCAAGUAUUACAAAUAGAAGCCAAUGAGAAAAAUGUAUUUGAGAUGUGCAACAAAUUCCACAAAGAGAUUUUUUUCU